GAUGAACGCUGGCGGCGUGCUUAACACAUGCAAGUCGAACGAAGCAUUUAGAACAGAUUAUUUCGGUAUGAAGUUCUUUAUGACUGAGUGGCGGACGGGUGAGUAACGCGUGGGUAACCUGCCUUGUACUGGGGGAUAGCAGCUGGAAACGGCUGGUAAUACCGCAUAAGCGCACAAUGAUGCGUGACAUGGUUUGAAAAACUCCGGUGGUAUAAGAUGGACCCGCGUCUGAUUAGAUAGUUGGUGAGAUAACAGCCCACCAAGGCGACGAUCAGGAGCCGGCUUGAGAGGGUGACCGGCCACAUUGGGACUGAGACACGGCCCAGACUCCGACGGGAGGAGGCAGUGGGGAAUAUUGCACAAUGGAGGAAACUCUGAUGCAGCGACGCCGCGUGAGUGAAGAAGUAAUUCGUUAUGUAAAGCUCUAUCAGCAGGGAAGAUAGUGACGGUACCUGACUAAGAAGCGCCGGCUAAAUACGUGCCAGCAGCCGCCGUAA
rnacentral:rRNA from 1 species